UGUUUUUUUCACCCGAUUUUUCCUGAAAAAAAAAUAUAAUUAUUAUUUUUAUACUAAUUAUUUUUUACUAUAUUAUUGCUAUUUCACGAUCAUGCGCAUAUCUUGCUAUCGUGAGCCGACUUGUCUACCAAGUAACCACAAGUAAAGAAAGGGCCUCAUCUUCUCAAGUCACUAUCACGCGUGCUUGACUGCUUGUCCAUUCAAAUAGCCACACAGUUCAACGAUCCAACUCGUUGACCCGACCCCAUAGUUACACUAUUGCAAAUCAGAGUUAACUGAAUAACUCGCAUCAAACUCGACCGAGCCUCUACUGAGUUAAGUCGAUUUAUACUAGACAAUGUACGUUUGUUACGAGUACACGAGUUAGGCGAGUUAACUCGCUCAAGUCAAACCAACUAGCGCCGGUCAAAAGCUAAAACACAAAAAGCACUCUUGAGGGUUCACCACAUACCUUCUCUUGGAGCAA
rnacentral:misc_RNA from 1 species